CUGCUUUAGCUGCAAUGAGGAUUACUGAUGUCACUGACCAGAAUGGACAUGAAUGGGUUGGAGACAGUGGUGCAACAGCUCACAUCACCAAUUCUCCUCAAAACCUGCAACAGUCACAGUCAUAUGGAGGGUCAGACUCAAUCAUGGUGGGAAAUGGAGAGUUCUUACCCAUAACACACACUGGUUCAACAAGUAUAUCAGCAAGCUCAGGUACUCUACCACUUAACGAUGUGUUAGUAUGUCCUAAUAUAGAGAAAUCACUGCUAUCAAUCUCUAAACUUACCAGUGAUUAUCCAUGCUCCAUUAACUUUGAUUGUGAUACUGUUCGUGUGAUUGAUAAGGCCACAAAGAGAAUGCUGGUACAGGGAAACAACAUUAAUGGUCUAUAUGUUCUGAAGGACAAGCCUAUUUACUCCUUCUACUCAAAUCGUCAAGUGUCUGCUCCUGAAGAUGUUUGGCAUAUGAGAUUGGGGCAUCCAAAUUCAGAAGUCCUUCAGCAUCUGUCAAAGAUCAAAGCAGUUAUCAUCAAUAAAAGCUCCAAAGGCAUCUGUGAAGCAUGUCAAUUUGGGAAAAGUUCAAGACUUCCUUUUGCUUCUUCUUGCACUACUACUUCCAGACCCUUGCAAAGAAUACACUGUGAUUUGUGGGGACCUGCACCAAUAAUGUCAGUGCAAGGAUUCAAAUACUAUGUUAUUUUUGUAGACAACUACUCUCGUUUUUGCUGGUUUUAUCCACUCAAGUUAAAGUCAGAUUUCAUGUCAGUCUUUCUUAUCUUUCAAGCACUAGUGGAAAAUUAGUUUCAACACAAAAUUGGGAGUUUUCAAUGUGAUGGUGGGGGUGAGUUCACAAGCAAUAAGUUCACAAAUCACCUACAACAACAUGGGAUUCAACAGUUAAUUUCUUGCCCUCAUACACCACAACAAAAUGGGCUAGCAGAGAGAAAACAUAGGCACCUGAUAGAGCUUGGUUUAGCUAUGAUCUGUCACAGCAGAGUUCCUCUCAAGUUUUGGGUUGAAGCCUUUUAUACAGCCAACUUUCUCAUCAACCUGCUGCCUACAUCAACUCUGGCAGAAAACAAGAGUCCCUUUGAAGUUCUGAAUGGACAACAACCAGAGUAUACGUCAUUAAGAACAUUUGGAUGCGCCUGUUAUCCCACUUUAAGAGACUAUGCUCAACACAAGUUUGAUCCAAGGUCAUUGAAGUGUGUAUUUCUAGGCUACAAUGAGAAAUACAAAGGUUAUAGAUGCUUACUCGUGGCAUCAGGGAGAGUGUACAUCAGCCGCCAUGUCCUGUUUGAUGAACAAGACUUUCCUUUUCACAGGUCUGCACCAACCCCGCAAAUGGUCUCAACACCUCUCCUUGCUGCCUGGUCCAAGAGUAUUCCCAUACCACCACCUGACAAGGCACCUGAUCAACAAGAUCUCAACAAGUCAGAAUGCUCACUCAUUACUCCUAUAUCUGGUAAUCUUAUAAAACCACCAGUUACCUCUGAAGCAUCCGUGGAUCCUUUACAGCUUGAGGCACAAACUAUUGUGAGAGAUGAGGAGAAUUCUGGGUGUACGGCAGGCUUUGAUCCUGAUCCUAUAGGCAACAGUUCUCCUUCAUCUUCUCAUAGUAGUGACAGUGCAGCUACUAUGUCCCCAACACUCAGCAAUUCACCUACAACAGAAACAGAACAAUAUGAGUCUGCUCAACAACAACAAGAAACAAAUGCAACAACAAGUCAAGUUAUACAAGAAGCAGCUCCAGUACAUCCCAUGAUCACAAGGUCUAAAGCAGGUAUCAGAAAACCUAAUCCCAGAUAUGUGCUGUUCACCUCCAGAGUAACAUAUCCAGAGCCAAAAACUGUUACUGCUGCCCUUAAAGAUUCUGGAUGGAAUGGAGCCAUGAAUGAGGAGUAUGAUAACUGCCAAGAAGCAGGAACAUGGUCCCUAAUCCCUAGAACACCAGACAUGCACAUUCUGGGUUGUAAAUGGGUAUUCCGUACAAAGCUCAAUGCAGAUGGAACACUAGAUAAACUCAAGGCAAGAUUGGUGGCCAAGGGCUUUGAUCAAGAAGAGGGUAUUGAUUAUCUUGAAACCUACAGCCCUGUAGUAAGAACACCUACAGUAAGAUCAGUUCUACAUCUUGCUACUAUUAUGGGUUGGGAAAUAAAACAAAUGGAUGUUAAAAAUGCAUUCUUACAUGGAGAUCUUACUGAAACUGUGUACAUGACACAACCUGCCGGCUUCAUUGAUCCUGCACAUCCAGAUUAUGUUUGUCAUCUGCACAAGUCACUGUAUGGUCUAAAACAAUCACCACGAGCAUGGUUUGAUAAGUUUAGCACUUAUCUUUUGGAGUUUGGCUUCGUCUGCAGCAUGUCAGACCCUUCUCUGUUCAUCUACACCAAAGGUAAAGCUAUUAUUCUGCUAUUACUAUAUGUGGAUGAUAUGGCUAU
rnacentral:lncRNA from 1 species